CCUAAAUGAACUCACACGGACAGAAAGGAGGGGAAAUGAGACGCAGCCUCUGAGUCUUUCAGGACCCGGACUCAAGCUGAAGUGAGAAAAAAAGGAGUGUUUCCAUGAAGAGGUCAGCACGCCUGAUACCAACCCCGCCGGCAAUAAACAGUGACUAUGCGUGAAAUCAGCGAUGGGAACCAGCACCUCACUGCCACGGUAAACUCUACCCCCAAAUGGGGCUGUAACCCAGGACUCGGAGAUCAAGAGUCACAUGCUCCACCUACUGAGCCAGCCAGGGGACCCAGAAUGU